CGUAGAAUCUCGCCUGUUGGUGCUCGCAGUGUGGUUCACACGCUGCAGUUCAACGGGAAGCAGGAGGGAGUCAAAGCCAUGCGGACCGGGUCAGCCCGGUCUAGCCAGGCGCUGCGACUUCUAACCUGCGCUGCCCCCGCAACGGUAAACGGACGAAUGCUGCUCCUUCGGCUUGACAGCCAGGGACACAUUCAGCUUUCAUCAUGGGCCACUGAGCGUUUUGAACACGCGCUUGGGAAGGCGAUGAAGGUAGCUCCGUCAGCCCGGAUACCGGCCAACAAGGUGAAUGCGCG
rnacentral:ncRNA from 2 species